AACGAACGCUGGCGGCAGGCUUAACACAUGCAAGUCGAGCGCCCCGCAAGGGGAGCGGCAGACGGGUGAGUAACGCGUGGGAAUCUACCCAUCUCUACGGAAUAACGCAUGGAAACGUGUGCUAAUACCGUAUACGUCCUUCGGGAGAAAGAUUUAUCGGAGAUGGAUGAGCCCGCGUUGGAUUAGCUAGUUGGCUGGGUAACGGCCUACCAAGGCGACGAUCCAUAGCUGGUCUGAGAGGAUGAUCAGCCACACUGGGACUGAGACACGGCCCAGAUUCCAACGGGGGGCAUCCAUGGGGAAUAUUGGAAAAUGGGGGCGAGCCUAAUCCAGCCAUGCCGCUGGAGUGAUGAAGGCCCUAGGGUUGUAAAGCUCUUUCACCGGUGAAGAUAAUGACGGUAACCGGGGAAGAAGCGCCGGCUAAGUUCGUGCAAGCCGCCGCCGUAAGAC
rnacentral:rRNA from 1 species